AUUGAACGCUGGCGGCAGGCCUAACACAUGCAAGUCGAACGGUAGCAGGAAGAAGCUUGCUUCUUUGCUGACGAGUGGCGGACGGGUGAGUAAUGUCUGGGAAACUGCCUGAUGGAGGGGGAUAACUACUGGAAACGGUAGCUAAUACCGCAUAACGUCGCAAGACCAAAGAGGGGGACCUUCGGGCCUCUUGCCAUCAGAUGUGCCCAGAUGGGAUUAGCUAGUAGGUGGGGUAACGGCUCACCUAGGCGACGAUCCCUAGCUGGUCUGAGAGGAAGACCAGCCACACUGGAACUGAGACACGGUCCAGACUCCUACGGGAGGCAGCAGUGGGGAAUAUUGCACAAUGGGCGCAAGCCUGAUGCAGCCAUGCCGCGUGUGUGAAGAAGGCCUUCGGGUUGUAAAACACUUUCAGCGGGGAGGAAGGGGGAAUGGUUAAUAACCAUUGUCAUUGACGUUACCCGCAGAAGAAGCACCGGCUAACUCCGUGCCAGCCGCCGCAGUAA
rnacentral:rRNA from 1 species